GUUUCUCAGGCUUGGCUGCUCUUCAUAGUCACCUGUGGAAGUUAAAAGCUAUGGCUACAACAACCAAUUAUACAUAGUUGUGAUCUUCAAGAACAUAUAGUUGAAAAGACGAAAAAGGAACAAAUGGAAUUUUGAGCACCUUCAAAUCUCUCUUCAAGAAAAUGAAUUUUUUAUAUAUCCCCUAAAAAACAGAAAAUGCUAACCAGGACUAGCCAGGAGAGAGACUAAUGAUGCAAGGGAGAGUUGGAGAUAAAAGUUCAGAGAGCUUUGCUUUAUGGAUGAGAAUGUGACCUUUCCAUGGGAGAAUUUGGUUUCAGCAUGUGAGAGAAGAAGGUAAGCCA
rnacentral:lncRNA from 1 species